UGGUCCUGGUCGGUCUUGCAGUGUAUGUCCUCGUUAUCAGGCGUCGGUACGAUCUGACUCCGAAGAAACAAAGAGACACGCCAGCGUCUGUUGACCACCCCACUUACUCCGGUCUGUCAGCUGGAGCUGCUGUCAACAACUAUACCAGUAUCGAACAACCUCAAGAUCUCAAGAAGAUACUACACAUGGAUCAACAGCUACUCCGGACUACCAAAACAUCUGAUUUACCUAUUUCAUUAGUCACGAAUUUGUUCAUGCAACAGUCAGUGAUGUAGCUGGAUAAGUUCAGAUACGGCAUUAGCGUGUGAUGCGGAUUGAGACACGUUAAGACUGACUGUUUUUAUGCACCGAAUUAUCCUGAAGAUCCUGGCUCUGACAGUGACUAGAUUGUACAACCUACUGUCCAUCAACCUUACAUAUUGUCAGUUGUUUCAAUACUUGGUACUUGUCUGUCUUGGUACUUGUUUGUCCUUAUAUACUCACGUUUUAGCUGCAGGGCAGCUCUAUGUUUUUAUUGUGUUUGUAUAGAGCUACCAAUAGUGUACGUUUGGUAUAUACAGGUAUGAACAAUAGCCAUGUUGAUAUUGUCGCUUUGAUGAAACCUGCUCCUGCCAUAUUUACUGUAAACUCACAUUGUAUAUCUACAGUUGUAUCUGUGUGACCUUUGUUUGCUGUAAUUUCACAUACCAUUUAUUUAACGAGCAGACAUCUUGCAUUCCCAGUAAACACCUAUUCUACUCAAAACGGAAGCCUAAAGUACGGAAGCCUAAAAUAUCUCCCGAUGUAUGCCCAUGCAUUGUACCACGUAUAGUUAAAUUCCGUUUACUCCAUUAUUACAAAUGAUACUAACUUCAGUGUUGUGGUAAAUAAUAAUCAGAAAGUA